CAAGUAGCAAGGUAAGUAUAAAUACGAACUUCGUAGUUUUAAGAAAUCAGAAAUCAGAGGUAUUUCCUACAUAGUAAUUACAAUGAAAUUUUCUAUUUUGUUAUUAACCAUCGCCAUCUGUGCAGGUGUUUCUAUGGGUUUGAGAUGCUUAACUUGUAGAGGUGAUGCUGGAGGCUGUGGAAAUGGAUCUACUAAUGCAAGUUCAGAAUGUGUGGGGCCAACACCCACUGCUGAUGUGAUAGAACGUUGUGUUGCUUAUCGAGAGAAAGCAACCAGCGGAGGUUGUACUGGAAUCCAAGUAAGAAAGUGUGAUUACAUAAAGCGUGGGACCGAUGCGUGCAAUAACAGCGAAAGAUGCAACUGCUUUUCAUGUGACGGGAACAAUUGUAACAUCCAGCCUCUAUAAAAGAAUCAGAAGAACAAUUCCACGAUUGUAUGGUGGCCCGCUAUUUUUCUCGUAAAAGUUUUUGUUUUUAUGUUUCUGUAAUGUAAUUGUAAUAAACCCACAAACGAAA